rnacentral:rRNA from 1 species
CCUACGGGAGGCAGCAGUGAGGAAUAUUGGUCAAUGGACGAGAGUCUGAACCAGCCAAGUAGCGUGAAGGAUGACUGCCCUAUGGGUUGUAAACUUCUUUUAUAAAGGAAUAAAACGAGGCACGUGUGCCUUUUUGCAUGUACUUUAUGAAUAAGGAUCGGCUAACUCCGUGCCAGCAGCCGCGGUAAUACGGAGGAUCCGAGCGUUAUCCGGACUGAUUGGGUUUAAAGGGAGCGUAGAUGGGUUGUUAAGUCAGUUGUGAAAGUUUGCGGCUCAACCGUAAAAUUGCAAUUGAUACUGGCAGUCUUAGGUACAGUUGAGGUAGGCGGAAUUCGUGGUGUAGCGGUGAAAUGCUUAGAUAUCACGAAGAAACCCGAUUGCGAGGGCAGCUUACUAAACUGUGACUGACAUUGAUGCUCGAAAGUGUGGGUAUCAAACAGGAUUAGAUACCCCUGUAGUC